rnacentral:lncRNA from 1 species
CCAUGACAAAGCAUCAGUCUACUUAAAAUGAAUAGCUUCAGUGACAAAGGAACAUUGCCAGAAUUAGCUACCGAGGUGAUAGAGCCGCAUCAAGUGCAUGUGAGAAGUUAACACCAAAGGUUGAAUUUUUUGAAAGGCAAAUCCAGUAAUCUUACUCAAAAUGAACAAAAUUCUUCUACAAGUUUUUACUGGACUUAUUGGCAUACAUGGGUAUGUACAAGCUAGCGUACCCCCAACAUCAGAGUCCAG